rnacentral:lncRNA from 1 species
GUCGGACUCUGAACUUCUACCGCAAGCGAUCUACCCCGAGCUCCCAUUGUGGAUGCAUUCCUUUCGAAUUUCUAUCACCGGUAGGCUUCGACCGAACCCCUCGACAAAUGAUCCCCAUCCGAGCUUUUACAGAGAUCGGACUCCGACCGAACUCCUAUAGCGGACAAAUGUUGGGUUCACGAAAUCCAGCAGCUGGACCCCUCCAGCAGAUGAAUCUCUCCAGCACCAUCUGACAUCCAC